UGCCAGCAGCCGCGGUAAUACGAAGGGUGCAAGCGUUAAUCGGAAUUACUGGGCGUAAAGCGCGCGUAGGUGGUUCAGUAAGUUAGGAGUGAAAGCCCCGGGCUUAACCUGGGAAUUGCUUCUAAAACUGCUGAGCUAGAGUACGGUAGAGGGUGGUGGAAUUUCCUGUGUAGCGGUGAAAUGCGUAGAUAUAGGAAGGAACAUCAGUGGCGAAGGCGACCACCUGGACUGCUACUGACACUGAGGUGCCAAAGCCCCGGCAUCUAACCGGAUCAGAUA
rnacentral:rRNA from 1 species